rnacentral:piRNA from 1 species
UGCUCUCUGCAUUUCUCUGCACUGGUGUGC